rnacentral:lncRNA from 10 species
CAAGCAAUUCUGCCUCCGAAGUCUCCCAAGUAGCUGCCUCUAGUCUCCCGAGUAGCUGAGGCUACAGGCAUGCACCACCAUGCCUGGAUAAUUUUUGUAUUUUUUUAGUGAAGACAGAGUUUUGCCAUGUUGGCCAGGCUGGUCUUGAACUCUUGACCUCAGGUGAUCUGCCUGCCUUGGCCUCCCAAAGUGCUGGAAUUACAGGCAUAAGUCUAUGCACCUGGCGUCUGGGGUCCCUUUUAUAAGAGCAUUAAUGCCAUGAGGACAGAGCCCUCACGAACUCAUCAUCUCCCAAAGGCCCCACCUUCUAACACUGUCACACGAAGGAUCCAGUUUCAAUGUAUGAAUUGUAUAGAAAACAUUCAGACCACAGUCAUAAGAAUUUCAAGAUGAGAUCCAGGGUGGGCCCUAAAUUCAGCGACUGCUGUCCUUACAGGGGAAAGGAAAGGGCGACGUGAGACACAGGGGAGAAGACUGUCUGAGGAAGGCAGGCAGAGCCGCAGAGAUUUAGAGUUAUGCAACCCCAGCCAAGAAACACCACAAGCCACCAAAAAUUAGAAGAGUCACCACUCUUCUGGAUUUCCUGCUACAACAACAGAAUACCACAGACGCGGUAAUUUACAAUGAAAAGAAGUUUACUUGGCUCACUCAUCUGGAGGCUUCCAUCACAUCCAAGACCAAGGGGCACAUCUGGUGAGGGCCUUCUUGCUUUGUUGUAACAUGGCAGAAGGCAUCACAUGGGGGAGAGAGAUGUGGGGGGAGAGAGAUGGGGAGAAAGAGAGAGGAAAUCAGGCCAAACUUGCCCUUUUAUCAGGAGCCUCUUGAUACCUUCCUUCUGGAUACCCAGGCCUCUGCUGGUGGCCAUGACCGAGGACCUCACUCCAGCAUCAGGCAGGGACUACUCCUUUCCCCUUUAGCCCUGCCUCUGAAACCCAGGACAGGCCUCCCAGCUGCCAUUGGAAGUGGCUACCCUUGUAGCCCACACACCCCAACCUGCUUGGUAGGGCCAGCUCCCUUACUAGCACAGCUUGCGGCACAGGCCAGAGACCAGCUCGCCAACCUGAAAGUGUUCCCAGCAGAGCCAAGCCAGGCUCAACAAAGACCUCCCCAUUCUCAGCUCUGGGCCUGCCUCGUUUCCUGUGGGGCUAGCCAUAGCCAUGCCUUUUAAAGGGAACUCCAGUAGGGUGUGGUUGGCCCCUGUCCUACAAAAGAGUCCCCACAGCCCAGCAAUGUCCUUCCAGGCCCUGGUUUAUGCAGUCACGUUCCUGCAUGGUGUCACUAACCACCCUUCCCACGCUGUGCUGUGCAAAGGCCAUCCCAGUUCUUACCUAGGUCUUUUCUUGAGUGCAAGGUAAAGAGGGCCUGCCUCACCCCUUCCUCAACCAUAUUGCCUCCUAUGAGCAAAGGCUUCUGUUUAAUUCAGUCACCUGACAUUUACUGAGCAUCCACUAUGUGCCAGACACCAUUCUAGCAUCUGGUGAUUCAGCAGUAAACAAAACAGACAAAAUCCCUGCCCUCAUGGCCUUUACAUUCU